rnacentral:lncRNA from 1 species
AUAUAUAUUAAUAAACAAUAUAAUCCAAAUACAACAAACUAAUAAAACAAAUUCUGUAAAUGAGUUUUGAAAUGUUGCUAUUCACAGAUGUCCUCCAGACUGGACGGGAGAUUACUGCCAGACAAACGUAUACAACGUGGUCUCAACCUCAAUUGGAAUAGCGAUUGGAGUGACAGUAUUGAUCGUGGCUCUGCUGGUUGCUCUGGUCUAUGCUGCCAGGAAGAAGUCCAACCUGCUGGAGGGGGUACGGAGACACUUGCCCUCCAUGCCCUCCAUGCCCUCCAUGCCCUCCAUGCCAAGAUUCAGAAAUAGUCCGUCUCCAAAUGCAUCGAUAGCAGAUGAGAGUGAAGCAAGGCUGAAUUGUGAAACGGCUCCCUGUAUGUCUGUGUCCACGGGGGAAACGGUCGAGAAGAGUUUUGAUAACCCGGCAUAUGAAGUUGGAGACCAAGCCGCUGCCACGAGCACGGUGGCAACCACCUCCGCUCCUGAAGGAACAAACCAGGAGAACAUGAAUAACCCUUUGUAUAUGGAAGAAGUUCAAGUGGUGGACGAGCCCACAACAAGUGCAAACAUACCCGCCGUCGUCAACACGGUCGGUUUCACAUUCAUCACCAAGUUAAUGUCACACCAAAUGAUUUACAUGUAUAAUAACUCAAGUUUCCUUCUAAAAUAUCUCACCACGGUGAUUGAAACAUAUAUUGUAUAUAUAUAUAUUAAUCUCUAAUUUAGAUUUUUUUAAGAGUAGAGGUGAGGUCUUCUUACUGACUGAACCCCAGAGUUUUAUUUUGAAGUUUAAUAUUCCUUUAAACCAUUUUGAAGUUGUCGCUCUGUUUUAGGGGCCUUUUGAGAACCCGGCCUACGGCAUGGAAGAUGUUGACAUCACUUUUACACAACCAGCUGCUUCAAGCACACAGGUAGCCAUGGAGAUGUACAAAUGUUUCACAGUACUGCUAAGUAUCUGAAAACUCUGAUAAUUGCAAGCUUUGAUUUAUUUAUUUUUG